CGUAGGGUGCGAGCGUUAAUCGGAAUUACUGGGCGUAAAGCGUGCGCAGGCGGUUCGCUAAGACCGAUGUGAAAUCCCCGGGCUUAACCUGGGAACUGCAUUGGUGACUGGCGGGCUAGAGUGUGGCAGAGGGGGGUAGAAUUCCACGUGUAGCAGUGAAAUGCGUAGAGAUGUGGAGGAAUACCGAUGGCGAAGGCAGCCCCCUGGGCCAACACUGACGCUCAUGCACGAAAGCGUGGGGAGCAAACAGGGUUAGAUACCCUGGUAGUCCACGCCCUAAACGAUGUCAACUAGUUGUUGGGGAUUCAUUUCCUUAGUAACGUAGCUAACGCGUGAAGUUGACCGCCUGGGGAGUACGGUCGCAAGAUUA
rnacentral:rRNA from 1 species